GACGAACGCUGGCGGCGUGCCUAACACAUGCAAGUCGAGCGAAUGAAGUUCCUUCGGGAACGGAUUUAGCGGCGGACGGGUGAGUAACACGUGGGCAACCUGCCUCAUAGAGGGGAAUAGCCUUCCGAAAGGGAGAUUAAUACCGCAUAAGAUUGUAGUACCGCAUGGUACAGCAAUUAAAGGAGCAAUCCGCUAUGAGAUGGGCCCG
rnacentral:rRNA from 1 species